AGUGAACGCUGGCGGUAGGCCUAACACAUGCAAGUCGAACGGCAGCACAGUAAGAGCUUGCUCUUACGGGUGGCGAGUGGCGGACGGGUGAGGAAUAAAUCGGAAUCUACUUUUUCGUGGGGGAUAACGUAGGGAAACUUACGCUAAUACCGCAUACGACCUACGGGUGAAAGCAGGGGAUCUUCGGACCUUGCGCGAUUGAAUGAGCCGAUGUGGGAUUAGCUAGUUGGGGGGGUAAAGGCCCACCAAGGCGACGAUCCGUAGCUGGUCUGAGAGGAUGAUCAGCCACACUGGAACGGGGACACGGUCCAGACUCCUACGGGAGGCAGCAGUGGGGAAUAUUGGACAAUGGGCGCAAGCCUGAUCCAGCCAUACCGCGUGGGUGAAGAAGGCCUUCGGGUUGUAAAGCCCUUUUGUUGGGAAAGAAAAGCAGCAGGUUAAUACCCCGCUGUUCUGACGGUACCCAAAGAAUAAGCACCGGCUAACUUCGUG
rnacentral:rRNA from 1 species